CGGUGAGCACAGCAGUCCAACAGCAGAGGGGAGGUGCUUCUUCAUCCCCAGAUGCACGUCUGUCAGGAGGUGCCUGGCUGGAGGGCCGCCACCCCGAAGCUCUGUUAGGAAGAGCUGGAGAGCUCAGGUGUCACCACACUGGUGAUGGGGUCGGUCCCCGGCUAGGUUUCAAGAGUGAUUGCCAUAACUGAUGGGGUGGCUUAAACGACAGAAUAGCAUCCUCUGUCUGUUCUGGAGCCAGAAGUCUGAGAUCAAGGCGUCGGCAGGGCUGCCUCCUUUCGAGGACUGAGGGGGAGUCUGUUCUAGGCCCCCCUCCAGUUUCUGGGGGUUUGCUGGCAUCCUUGGCGUCGUUGGCUUGUAGAAGCAUUGCCCCAUCUCCACCUUCAUGCUCACAUGGUGUUCUCUGUGUGUGUGCGCGUGUGCGUGUGUGUGUGUGUGUCUGUGUCAUGUUGGAUCGGGGCCGGACCUAAUGCUCCAUUUUAGCUUGAUUAGCUCUGCAAAGACCUCAGCUCCAAUUAAGGCCACAUUCUGAGGUCCUGGGGCUUAGAAUUUCAACAUCUGAAUCUGGGGGCACAGUUCAACCCACAACAAAGAAGAACCUUAACAGGGCCGUUCUCGAGGGGAGCAGCUUAGAACAUGUCAGAGCCUCCCGACACGUGGUCCCAGCGGCUCAGACUAGUUUAACCUGGACGUGCAAAGUCUUGGAGGGGGAGGAGUGCGGUGCAGGAGAGCUGGCUUCAGGCGUCCUGCUGCUUCCAGGGAAGAAGGGACUCUCGGGGGCGGUGCCAACAGAGGGUGAGAGAGGAUGCCCUGCUCAGGGCACUGGCAGGGCACUUGGGGCUCAGUUCAGGCCUCGUUCCCUCUGGCUUUGCUUUAGACGUAAGGGGCCAAGCAGAACCGUGGUGCUUGGACCCUCACUGGGCGCUGGGCUCGGAGCCCAUGGGAGCACCUCUGCUACAGCUCCCUCGCCCUUUCUGACCCUACGCUGCUGCAGGCAUCGACACCAGACCAGGAUGCCAGGGCUCCAGGUGGCCGGACAAGGCCUCACCACAAGUUCACAGGUCACACGACGUUCGUGAGGUGGCCCAGCCUCCGUUCUCCCCUCUGCUUGCUGACCACCCUCACACGGUGCGAAAGGGACCGAAAUAAUGAUCGCUUCCGGCAGUGACCCUCAGGGCAGCGCCGGGCUCUGUGCUCAGCGGCCUCCUGCGCUCAGAGGGUCCUGGCCACACUGGCCUGGCUUCUCCUCACCGAGGGACAAAGGGCAGCGAGCAGACAGAAAGAAAAGCCGCCAGCAGCCUGGGAGCGCCCCCGGGCACUCCGUGCUGCUGUGGCCAUCUGUCCGGAUAGAUGCUUGGACCCUGCACCCCAAGCUCCCCACGUGCCGAGGCUGGAGCCUAGGACUGCGCUUCCCAAAGGGCUUCCAUCAGGCCAGCUCAGGGUCUGCGGUGGGAAGCCCGGCCAAGCCCGCAGGGGCAGCUGCAGAGACGGAGGAGGAGGCCAGUGGGCGGGCCUGCUUCCCAAGUUAUUCAUAGGGUUCAUUUUGAGGGGAGCCCAGAGCAGGCGGCACUGGCAAGAGGGGGCUGUGACCUAGCGCAGUUCCCAAGUCACCCGCGUAAACCCUGACCCGCACGCAAAGCAAGGAUUCUGCGUCUCACCCUCAGAGACUCUGAGUCAGCAGGUCUGAGGUGGGACCUGGGGACCUGCAUUCCUAACAACUUCUCGGGGGAUGCCACUGCUGCUGGUUCUGGGGCCACACUCUGAGAAACACUGACCUGGCCGGACCCAUGGGGCGUGGAAGAUUCUGGAAGAUAGAGAUGCAGCGUGGAGCCCCUGGCAGCCCCUGCAGGGACUCAGUGCAAACACUUGGAGUUUUGGAGAAUAACCAAACAGUCUUCUGAAAAUCCUAUGCUCCGUUUGAGUUAGUAUACCGCUGAGCCGUAGUAGAAACUCAAAGAAAUCGAGUUAGCAUAUAAGCUGAGCUGCCUGGCAUAAAUUAACCAGCCAACCCAUAAAGUUUGGUACAGACAGCAACUUGCUAUCACCAAGUGGAGGCAAUAUACACGCUUUCAGGCUCGGGCGGGUGCUGCAGACACAACUAAGCUGCAGGAACAGGUGCCCCCCUUGUUGCAUCGGUAUCACCCCCUUAACCCGUACCUGGGCUUCACGGGCGUUUCUUCUGACCAUCUGACUGCGGAAACAUGGAUCCCACAGUGUACCGAUCCCACCGGGGAGUGGAAGGCUGCAGCACUGCAGCCACGCUCGGAAGACACAGGGAAAUCUUCCCAGUGGGCAGAUACCUGAGCAGUGCACAGGGCUAUUCCUUAGCCGAGAAGAAGACAGUCAGAGGUACGGGUCUCAGUGAUUCUUACACAUUGGCUAGUGUUUGGUUGUGUGAUAAGAGAGUUCAAAGAAAAUCGGGAAAUUGAUGACAAGACCUUUAUCUGCAGAUGACGUAAUCACCUAUGGAGACAAUCUUAAUGAAUCUACAAAACAAAAGCUAGAAUUAACAAGUGAAUUUAGAAGGUCAUAGGAUACACAGAAAUCAAUUGUAUUUCUACAUACCAGCAGGAAACAACUAUAAAGUAAAAUUUAAAAUAAUUUCAUUUACAACAGUAUCCGAAACAAAAUGUUUAGGCAUAAAAUGCGUGUGUGCAAGACGUGAAUGUUGAAAUCUAGACACUGCUGAAGAACUAAAAGGGCUGGAGGAAGUGGAGUGGUAAGACCAUGUCCAUGAUCUAAAGGCUCAGUAUCAUUAAGAUGUUAAUUUCUUCCCAAACUGACUAUAGAUUCGACCCAGUUCCAACCAAAAUUCUAACUGGCUCUUUUGAACAGCUCAACCAGUUGGUUCUAAAAUGCAUAUGGACCCAGAGUAGCCAAAACAAUGCCGAAAAAGAACGAGAUUGGAGGACAAAGGAAACUUUGUAAUCCCACCGUCUGCACAAAACUUAACUCUAUUUUCUGUCAUUAUUUUGCCAUUUGUGUCCUCGCUCUACAGACAGCUUUAUUGGGGUUCAAUCGACAUACCAUAAACUGCGUGGGUCUCAAGUGCACAAUUUGGGAGGCCGUUUAUGUGGCCAUGGGACACGAGCGCCAUGAGGAUAAUGUCCAUCACACUCAGACAAUCGUAGCGCUCCUGCGUAUCCAUCUUUAUCCACCCCACCCAGGCAACCGCUUGUCCGACAGCUACAGAUUCCUUUUUUCUUCCUAGGAUUUUAUAUAAGUGGAACCUACAGUAAGGACUGUUUUUUGGUCUCUUCCUCCCACUCAGCAUGUUUGAGCUGAAUCUGUGUUGUUACACGAAUCAGUGAAUUCCUUUUUGUUGUGGAAUGGCUGGGUCAUUUGGUUGAUGUGUGUUUAACUGUUUUUAAAAACAGUCAAGUUGUUUUGCAAAGUGGUGAUACUGUUUGACGUUUCCAAGGACAGUGCAAGAGUUUCCAUUGCUCCACGUCCUUGGCAACACUUAGAAUGGCCGGUCUUUUAAAUUUUAGCAUUCUAAUAAGUGUGCAGUAGUAUCUCAUUACCGUUUAAAUUGGCAUUUCUCUAAUGACAGUGUUUUAGCAGUCCUUCAUGUGUGUGGUUGCCAUCAGUAUCACUCCUUGUCAAGUGGACGUUCAAAUCUUCUGCACAUUUGGGUUGUUUGUUUGUUAUAUUAUUAUUGAGUUUUGAGGGUUCUUUACAUAUUCUGGAUACAAGUCCUUUAUCAGGUGCUUUGUAAAUAUCUUUCCCAAUCUUGGAUUGCCUUUUCAUUCUCUUAAUAGAGCCUUUUGAAGAACAGAAGUUAUUAAUUCUGAUGAAGCCCAACUUAUCAAAUUUUUAAAUGAGUCCUGCUUUUAGUGCCAUAUCUGAGAAAUUUUUACUUAACCCAAGAUCACAAAAAUUUUCACAAAAAAAGUUUUCCUCUAAGAGUUUUAAAAUUUUAGGUUCUACCCUUAUGUAUAAGAUCCACUUAAAAUUACCAUGGUGUAAGGUAUAGAUCAGUUUCAUACCCUUGUCCUAUGGGUCAUUGGGAGAGAAGUGUUGAAACCUUGAGGCACAGCCAUGUGGGCUGGUCUUAUAGUCCCUGUGGUUCUGCUGUCUUUGCAUGGUUCAUGUGGAAGCUCUCUUAGGGUUGCCACGGCCUACUGGGAGCUGAAUCCUUACUGUGAAAUGACCUCUCUUACACCCGCUGACCACUUGGGCUCUGAGAUCAACGUUUACCCUACCUUCUUUUGAUGGAGUUGGCACUGUCCUUUUCCUUUUGGCCCACUGGUGGCCGGGUAAAGUGUGCUUCUUGCAGGCAUCUUGUGGUUGGUUCUUGCUUCUACGUCCAAUCUGACGAUUUCUGCUGACCGAUUGGGGUGUUUGACCAUUUACAUUGAAUGUACUGCUGAUACCGUUGGGUUAAAUCUACCGUCUGCUACACUGUGCCCUCUGUCCCCCUUUACCACCGUUCCUGCUGUCCUUCAGACUGAGUUUUCAAGUCCCACGUUCUGCUUCCCCUGUUGGACUCUUAGCCGUAUCUCUUUGCUGUGUCAUUUUCGUGUCACCUUCAAGUGGCAUCACACUGCUGUACAUGUCAUUAGGACGGACCUGGGGCCACUUCUAGUCACCCCUCCCGGCCUCUGUGCCAUUGUCACCUAUGUGUUAUGAACCCCAGAAUGCAUUGUCAGUUUUACUUUAGAUACUCAAUCACCCUUUACAGAGAUUUAAAUGAUGAGAAACAAGUGUUUCUACUUACCCACAUGAUUCCAGCUUCUGAGCCUCCUCAGGCCUCUGUGUGGGUCCAGAUUUCAGAAUGGAAUCACUUUCCUUCUGCUGUAAGGACUUACUUUCACACACUGUGUAGUGAGGUCUGCCAGCCAGUGACAGGUUUUUUUAGCUUUUGUGUCUAAAAAACCUUUUUAUUUCUCUGUUGUGAAAGCUAUUUUUGCCGAGUGAAGAAUUCUGGGUUGACCGUGUUCUUUUUCUUUGCGCAUUUUAUGGACGUUGCUUCACUGGCUUCUGUCGUUCUGAUGAAGAAUCUGCUCUGUGCACAUGGUUGUGUCCUUUUCCUCUGGUGGCUGACCUUCUCUUUAUCAUCUAUUUUAAGCAUUCGAUUACUAUGCUCCUGGUGUGUUUCCUCCAUGGCGCUUGUGCUUGGAAUUCAUCGAGCUCCUUGGACCCAGGGGUUUAUAGUCUGUACUGAAUUUGGGAAAGUAUUUCUUCAAAAAUUUUUGUUUGCCCUUGGGACUCCAGUGGUGCAUAUAUCGGGCGACUCGAAGUCUCACACUCACUGCUGCUCUGUGCAAAUUUUGGUCUUUUUUCUCUAUUUUGUUUUGAACAGUUUGUGCUGCUGCUCUUCACGUUCACUUGCUGUCUCCUCUGUGAUGCCAAAGCCACCCUUAAUCCCAACCAGGGUAUCUUGCGUCACAAACAUCGUAGUUCUUACCUGCAGAAUUUAGAUUUGUGUCUUUUAAAAGACACCUGUCAUGUCUUAACUACACAUGGUUAGUCUUGCUUCCAGCUAGCUUUUGAACACGGAUUUUGCAUAAUGAUUGUCAAUGCCUUCAUCUACUAAUUCCAUCACCCGAGUCACUUCUGGGUCUGUUUUCGUUGAUUAUAGAUCAUCUUUCCUGCUUUUUUGCAUCUAGGUGACCUCUGAUGGGAUGCAAGUCAUUGUGAAUUUGACCCCUUGAAUGCUGGGUAGUUGUAUAUUCCUCUGAAUAUUCUCGAACUUUGGGCUGCAGGUAAGCUACUUACAAAGAGUUUGGUCAUUCUUUCAGGUCUUGCUUUUAAGCUUUGUGUAGCAAGACCAGAGUGGAGUUUGGCCGAGGGGUUACGACUUCUUCACGACUCAGGCAAAACCCAUCUGAGUUUCCACCCGAAAUCCCCUUCCAGGAUGGCAGCCUCUGCCCCUCCAUCUUGACCAAAAGCAAAAUUGUGGACUCAUUAACGUUUAUUAAGUUGAAAAGAACUAAUCAGAGCCCGAGCAGCUCUUGACAAUCCUGUGGUAGACCCCUGCCAGACUCUCGUGUGGCUGGGGGGCCACGGAGGUCGGUUCUGCCCCUGGAAUAUGGGCGGCUUCCUUUGGAUGAGAGAACAUACACUGUACGAUUUAAAUAUUUUGAGAUUUACUCUCGAGCCAAGCAUGGAGUCUAUUUUGCCAACUGCUUCAUGUGCAUUUUUAAUGGCAAUGAAAUCAAUUUGGUAAACAGGGUUUUUCAAAUUUUCUACAAAACUGUGCUUCUUUCCCUGGUGGUUCUGUAGACUACUGAGAGAAUUGUGUGAAAAUCUCCAACUAUGUUUGCUGAUUUAUUUAUUGCCUCUUUUCAUUCUGUCUAUGUUUGCUUAGUAUAUUUCAAGGUACGUCACUGGGGAUGUACCCCUUUAGGAUGACUGUGUCCUCGGGUGACCUGAACCCUUUACGGCUCUACAAUGUUUGUCUUUGACACCGUAAUCCUUCUCGUCUUAAAGGUCACUUACUGUGAUAUUAUUGAUCCUGCUACAUCAGCUGUCUUGUGGUUAUGUUUGCACAUUACAUAUAUUUCCGUUUUUUGUUUUUUUUUUAAACUUUCAACAUGUGUUUAAACAGCAUAUAGUCCGGGUGUUUUGUUUGCUUUUUAAUUUGGUCCAGCAACUGUCAUGUAGGCGUUUUUAGUCUAUAUUUAAUGUAAUUACUGGUACGGUUGGAUUUAAGUUUACCACUUGCUGUUUCUUUUCUAGUUGUAGCAUCUGUCCUGUCCUUUGUUCUUUAUUUUUUUCUUCUUACUUUCCUGCUUAGUCUGGGUGAGAUUAUUACUUUAAACUAUCCCAUUUUAUUUAUCUGUAGGCUUAUUAACUAGUCAUACCUCUGUGUUUUUAUUUUGUUUUCUCUGAAGGCUUGCACCGUUUUCACGGUCUCUGUUUAAAUAACACUCAUUCUUUCUGCAGGGCCAGGUUUCCACAUGCAUGUCACUCUUACCUUUGUUCCAUGAUAAUAUUUUCUUUUUCUCUGGCUGCUUUUAAGAUUACCUCUUUACCAGCGGCUUCCAGAAUUUUUUGUAACGUGCCUUUUGCCAUAUUUUUGUUAUAUUUCUUCUGCUUGUGGCGAGUUGAGCUUCUUGGAUAUCUGAGCUGUUAGAUUUGGGAAAACUCCGGCCGUUAUUCUGUCCAAUAGUUUUUUCUGUCCUAACCUCCCCUUCCCUGGGCCUCCCAUCACCUGUGAUAGGACCCUUGGUGUUUCUUUCGGUCAGCUUUCUACCCAGUCUGUGCUCCAUUGGGCCCACACAUUGCUACAUGAUGGUGUUUUCUCUGUAGUGUGUAUCUCAGGUGCUACAUGGUGCUACAUCGUGGUGUUUUCUCUGUAGUGUGUAUCUCAGGUGCCCCUGCCCAGGGCGAGAUGAGGCUGGUGGCUAUGGGCCUGCCUCUCUUCCCAGCCGACCCAGCGAGUACAGCAUGGCAGGGGACGGAGGGGCUGGGUGAAGCACGGAUGCCCACCCGGAGCCGAGCGACCAGAGCAGCCCCGGCUGGCGUGGCCGGGCUGGGCCCCGCCUUGUCAGACACGGGCCCAGGACUCAGCUCCCGGUGCGGCCCCUUCUCUGGGCAUCAGCUUGCUCGCACCGGACCCCCGUCCUCGAGGGGAAAUGCUUGUCGUCAUCCUGAUGCUCUUGUGCCGGGGGUGGACUUCCUUCCCGCCCCUGCGGCUCUGGCGGCAUGGCCUGCGGACCUCACUGGCGGCUGACUCCCCGCCGCCCACCUCCUUUUACGUCAAGAAGGGAUUUAUCUUACUGCAAGGGAAGCCUGGCAGCUCUGAGCGAGCCCCCAUCAGAAACCGCUGGCCUGACGGGAGGAGAAACGACUUCUGACGCUUCAGAGACCGGGGUCCGUCCUAAUGGGGUGCCCCUGUGGCAUGCAGGCUGUGCUUCGAGCUGGUCGCGCACAACGCACGUCCGCGACACCCGGGGGCCCGUGGGAACGCUCUUCUCACCCUCACGGCCGGUGACCGCGGGGUGUGGCCUGUGUGAUUCUGCGUCUGUGGGAUGCCCUAGCCUGUGGGACUCGGGUGCCACGUGCUGCGCUCCGGCCGGGGAGAUGUGAGCAGGGGUAGGGUUUUAUUUCCGUGCAGAAGCGUAGGGCUCUCCUCUUCCCUGUGCGUCCGCCUGGCUGGACCCGGGAGAGAGGCUGCGCUGGCAGACGGGGACGCGCGGGGACAGGCGGCUGGAGCUGCCCCAGGACAGCUCUGGGCUUGUCCGUCUUGAGGGUCUCCGUUCCGCUGGAUGAGACACUCCUACUCGGGACACCGCGGAGCCUCCGCGCUGCAGGUUCAGAUGGCCACCAGCCGUUGGGCUCCUCCGGCUGGCGACGUGACAGGACCGGGGGUGUCACGGGUGCUAACGGCAGCAGGGGAAGGGGGCCCGGGGCUCCUCUGGGUGCUUCUCUGCACUUUCAGGACAAAUCCUGUGACCAGCAGAGGCAAGACCACAGGCUCCGGAUACUUUGGAGUGAAAAUAGCAUCGAGCGGUGUCUGCCAGCACCAGAAGAGUGAACAUUUCCGGGAUGGAUGCGAGGGUCCCCGGGAUCUUACUUUCUGGGAGGAGGCGGAGCCUUUGCGUUUGCAGAAGUGACCAUUACAUCACGUGUGUCACUCCCUCGCGGGAAGGAGCGAGGAUGGGCCCUGCGUGGCUGGAGGGACGGGCUGUCCUGGCCACUGGCCGCCUGCUGCUCUCGGCGGCAUCCCCACGUGUAGCGCUCUGCCCCAGGAGGGGGCCGGGGUCUGCCACUGUCCCACUGGCUGGAAGGCUUCCGGCCGGAUCAGCAAAUGGGGGCAGGGGGUUGGGCAGAGGUGAACCUUCUGCUUCUGUAGGAAUCGCCACCAGGAACACCUUGAGCGCCCACCACUCCUUAACACCCGUCCCCUCUGGGGCGCUGGGAACCCCCAGAAGCCGCGGCAGGCCCCAGGGCAGUGUGCCCCCCCCCCCCCGCCCCCACCGCAGCUCCCAGAGGCUGCUUGUCCCCUUCCUUCGACUGGGAAGCUGUGUCCAGCUUUGAAUGUGAAAUGUCCAGACCCUGGCUUGCUUUGGCCCUUUUUUUUACUUAAAGACUUGAGCAAACUUUAACCAAUUUCAAAGGCAACACCCAUUUGUUAUGUUAGGAAGGGCCAAUGCCUACCCCUGUUGGUGCAUGAAUGUCAUUGUGGUGCAUUUCGUCCGCCGCCGCCCCGAUGGGGUCAGACCACGGGCUCCCUCUCCGGCUUCCCUGACUUACGACAUGAACACGAUGCUAAGUGUCACUCCAUCCGGAAGCCGCUGGCUACACAACCUCAAUUUUCUCCUCUACAGUUUUUGGGACUGCAGUACAUUAGCUCUUUCUUUCACUUCUAUUUCUAAAUCCUUCACUGACUUAAUAGGACGAAUUCAAGAUUCCUGUCUCUCUCCGCUCAACUAAGCAUACGUAGAAGGUGCGUGUUUCGCAGAGAAAUUAUAGAAACCAACUCAGCAGGUCGGCAAACAGCCUACGAGGUUGAGUUCUGUGAGACGUCAGCCGCUGUCUGCGUGCCAGCGAAACCUCCGACCCUCCCUUUGCCAUCCAGAAAGCUUUUUCUACAGAAGUUCAAUUACGAUGCUUCCCCAACGUCCUAGAAAAGCACUAAGGAAUCUCAGCGGGACUGGUUCUCCUGUCACAGCCUGUGUCACGUCUGCUGUUGUCUUUCUGAUGAAAAAAACCGCACAUAACAAAUAUGUCCUCAAGUACAUAAGACUUUGCGUUUUAUUCGUUCCAUUG